ensembl:lncRNA
GGGUGUGGGCGGAGCUCAGGCUCUGUGGUAACGAGCUCUCCAGGUGGUGCUGGAAGCUCCGGAACCAUUGGUCCGGUUUCCUGACUGGUCCAAUGAGAGUGUGACGGGGGUGUCUCCAAAUCCCCGAAUGGAAGUUUGACCGGUGAUUCCUGUGCAAUGACACACAAAUGAGGGAAUCCAGGUCUCUAACAAGGAGAAGACUGUCUGCUUUCCUCCUCUGGUUCUCUAGGAGGCUCGUUGGAUAAGUGGUCUCUGUGGUCUCCGUGCGGGGCUUCCCUGAUGGGUCAGUUGGUGAAGAAUCUGCCUGCAAUGCAGGAGACCUCGGUUCAAUCCCUGGGUCAGGAAGAUCCGCUGGAGAAGGGAUCGGAUACCCACUGCAGUGUUCUUGGGCUUCCCGGUGACUCAGCUGGUGAAGAACCUGCCUGCAAUGCAGGAGACCUCGGUUCAAUCCCUGGCUCAGGAAGAUCCGCUGGAGAAGGGAUCGGAUACCCACUGCAGUGUUCUUGGGCUUCCCGGUGACUCAGCUGGUGAAGAAUCUGCCUGCAACGCAGGAGACCCAGGUUUGAUCCCUGGGUUGGGAAGAUCCCCUGGAGAAGGGAAAGGCUGCCCACUCCAGUAUUCUGGCCUGGAGAAUUCCAUGGGGUUGCAAAGAAUGGUCUCUGUGAAUCGAGGGCACUUCUUACCUGCCUCCUUGGCACGCACCCCUCCCACCGCACCCUGCCCUCUGCUGGAUCAUCUUUCCCACAAGCACAGUGAGGGAGCAAAACUGUAACCACCGAGCUUCCUGAUGGUGGAGGCUGGUCUGUAUAACAGGGGCUUGGGAGCCCUCUGCCAGAAUAUCAUCUUAAAGAUGCUCACCGUGUUCUAAUCCGUAGAAGUACGUAGAUCCCAAUCUCCUGACCUUGGGAUGGACAUGUACGCACAGCUGUCUAUUUAGAACCGACAACCAACAAGGGCCUACUGUACAGCACAGGGACUCCUGCUCAAACUUCUGUAACAACCCAGAUGGGAGAAGAAUUUGAAAAGAAUAGAUGUGUGUAUUAUAUGUAACUGCACCACUUUGUUGUGCCCCUGAAACUAGGCUCGUGUAAACCGUGGCUGCAGCGUGGCGCUGGUCUUGGCGGCACUCGGAUGAGGGCUGAUCCUUCAUCCUUGAGAAGAGGGUCCCUGGCUCCGCGGCGAGCCCCCCACCUUCCUCGUCCUUCCCUCACCACGGGGCAGCGUUGGUCUCUGCCUUCUUCCCCGUCCCUUGGGGAUUUGCUAGAAUGUGGUUCACAUGAGGCUCUGUGACCUGCUCCAUCUCCCGGGACACUGUCAAGCACCUGGAAGGAGAGAGACCGAAGAGCCGGGCUUGGCGCCAUGCCAGGUUGCCGGCCGUGGGAGAGUGAGAACGAGGGCCCCCGUGGGCCGCGUCCCCGGCAGGACAGCCAGGCCUGGAUGGCAGAGUCGCUGCUGCUUCUCCUCCUUUCCCACGUUCCACAGAGGAGGCACCCUGGGGGUCUCUGUGCCAUGGAACACGGAGCGGAGUGGCUACCACUCCCUUCCCUGUGAUUCCCCUGUCCCAGGGAGUGCUGGGACCCAGGACAGCAGGCCGCCAUCCCGCGCCUAGCUCGCAGGAGCGUGACUCUGCACCCCAAGAAGAGGCGGGAGCCUCAGCCCAGCAGCUGGACCAGGUGAUUUUUCAUCCGUCGGAGGGACUGUCAGCACUCACGGUCCUGGGAGAGAGUCUUUCUCCCUGUCACGGGUGAGAUAAACUCCCCCCAACGCUACGGCGGCGGCCAAGCUGCCAACUCCACAUUUGCAUUUCGUAGUUUUGUUACAAAUCAAAGAUGUUGCCAGAAUGCUCUGGUUUGGUUUGGGAAGGUAAAUUGUAGUCAUUAUACUGGGGCACAGAAAGGCAUACUAAAUCUGAAGAGCAACACACUGCCAAGACUGGGGUCAGUCCUUCAGGGGUGACCAAGCGCGGCGUAUUUCCAAACGGGUCCAUAUUCCUCCAGACAAAGGUGCCAGAUUUAACCAGCUCGCUGUUGAUAGGAGAGCUACUGUUGGUAGGAGCAUCUCACGGGUCGGGGAAACUGCAACACCAUCUCUAAACAUCGAAGACCAUAGAAAGUCCUCCAGGUCUUGCUGGGGAUGCUAUCGAGGGUUGCCACAUCU